rnacentral:rRNA from 1 species
UACGAAGGGGGCUAGCGUUGCUCGGAAUCACUGGGCGUAAAGCGCACGUAGGCGGUUCGUUAAGUCAGGGGUGAAAUCCUGGAGCUCAACUCCAGAACUGCCCUUGAUACUGGCGAUCUCGAGUUCGGGAGAGGUGAGUGGAACUCCGAGUGUAGAGGUGAAAUUCGUAGAUAUUCGGAAGAACACCAGUGGCGAAGGCGGCUCACUGGCCCGGUACUGACGCUGAGGUGCGAAAGCGUGGGGAGCAAACAGG